AACACAUGCAAGUCGAGCGGAAAGGCCCACUUGUGGGUACUCGAGCGGCGAACGGGUGAGUAACACGUGAGUAAUCUGCCCUUCACUCAGGGAUAACUUCCAGAAAUGGGUGCUAAUACCUGAUAUGACCUACUAGCGCAUGUUGGUGGGUGGAAAGUUUUUUCGGUGGGGGAUGUGCUCGCGGCCUAUCAGCUUGUUGGUGGGGUAAUGGCCUACCAAGGCUUUGACGGGUAGCCGGCCUGAGAGGGUGACCGGCCACACUGGGACUGAGACACGGCCCAGACUCCUACGGGAGGCAGCAGUGGGGAAUAUUGGACAAUGGGCGGAAGCCUGAUCCAGCAACGCCGCGUGAGGGAUGACGGCUUCGGGUUGUAAACCUCUUUCACCAUUGACNNNNCCAUGCUUUUUGGUGUGGGUGACGGUAGGUGGGGAAGAAGC
rnacentral:rRNA from 1 species